rnacentral:rRNA from 1 species
CUACCAUGCAAGUCGAGCGGAACGAUCCUAGCUUGCUAGGAGGCGUCGAGCGGCGGACGGGUGAGUAAUGCAUAGGAAUCUGCCCGGUAGUGGGGGAUAACCUGGGGAAACUCAGGCUAAUACCGCAUACGCCCUACGGGGGAAAGCAGGGGAUCUUCGGACCUUGCGCUAUCGGAUGAGCCUAUGUCGGAUUAGCUUGUUGGUGAGGUAAUGGCUCACCAAGGCGACGAUCCGUAGCUGGUCUGAGAGGAUGAUCAGCCACAUCGGGACUGAGACACGGCCCGAACUCCUACGGGAGGCAGCAGUGGGGAAUAUUGGACAAUGGGCGAAAGCCUGAUCCAGCCAUGCCGCGUGUGUGAAGAAGGCUUUCGGGUUGUAAAGCACUUUCAGUGAGGAAGAAAGCCUUGGGGCCAAUACCCCCAAGGGACGACAUCACUCACAGAAGAAGCACCGGCUAACUCCGUGCCAGCAGCCGCGGUAAUACGGAGGGUGCGAGCGUUAAUCGGAAUUACUGGGCGUAAAGCGCGCGUAGGUGGCUUGAUAAGCCGGUUGUGAAAGCCCCGGGCUCAACCUGGGAACGGCAUCCGGAACUGUCAGGCUAGAGUGCAGGAGAGGAAGGUAGAAUUCCCGGUGUAGCGGUGAAAUGCGUAGAGAUCGGGAGGAAUACCAGUGGCGAAGGCGGCCUUCUGGACUGACACUGACACUGAGGUGCGAAAGCGUGGGUAGCAAACAGGAUUAGAUACCCUGGUAGUCCACGCCGUAAACGAUGUCGACUAGCCGUUGGGGUCCUUGAGACCUUUGUGGCGCAGUUAACGCGAUAAGUCGACCG